rnacentral:rRNA from 1 species
UGGUUUAAAGCGUUAGUAGUAUGGUUAUAUUAUAUAUAUAACUAGAAUAUAUAUUAAUACUAUAAUAGCUAUAUAAGUAACAGUUAAAUGUAAGUAUAAAUAUAGUAAUACCAUUAUUAGAAAUAAUAUAGUAAAAUAUAUAUUGACAUUCAGGAAUGAAAGUCAUGGUAUCAAAUUGGACUAGUCAACCAAUUAGUCAUGACCGUAAACGAUGUAAAUUAAUAUAUUAUAUUUAAAUAUAUNAUAUAUAUAGCUAACGCGUUAAAUUUACCACCUGCUAAGUAUUCCUUUCGGUGAAACCCAAAAC